rnacentral:rRNA from 1 species
UUAAUUGAAGAGUUUGAUCAUGGCUCAGAUUGAACGCUGGCGGCAGGCCUAACACAUGCAAGUCGAGCGGAAACGAAGAGGUGCUUGCACCUUUGGCGUCGAGCGGCGGACGGGUGAGUAAUGCUUGGGAAUAUGCCUUAUGGUGGGGGAGAACAGUUGGAAACGUCUUCUAAUACCGCCUGAUGUCUACGGACCAAAGUGGGGGACCUUCGGG